UCCGGAGGGGGCGAGCGUUAUUCGGAAUUAUUGGGCGUAAAGGGCGCGUAGGCGGCCUUGCGAGUCAAAGGUGAAAUCCCUCGGCUCAACUGAGGAACUGCCUUUGAAACUGCACGGCUUGAGGCCGGGAGGGGGUAGCGGAAUUCCCAGUGUAGCGGUGAAAUGCGUAGAUAUUGGGAGGAACACCAGUGGCGAAGGCGGCUACCUGGACCGGUUCUGACGCUGAUGCGCGAAAGCGUGGGUAGCAAACAGG
rnacentral:rRNA from 1 species